CAGGAUGAACGCUAGCGGCGCGCUUAAUGCAUGCAAGUCGAGCGAUGAGGCCCUUUCGGGGGUACAUCAGCGGCAGACGGGUGAGUAACACGUGGGUGACCUACCCUAAAGACGGGGAUAACCCUCGGAAACGGGGGCUAAUACCGGAUAGCUACAGCGUACGGGGGUAUGUUGUAGAAAGCUACGGCGCUUUAGGAGGGGCCUGCGGCCCAUCAGCUAGUUGGUAGGGUAACGGCCUACCAAGGCAAAGACGGGUAGGGGGUGUGAGAGCACGGCCCCCCACAAUGGGACUGGAACACGGCCCAUACUCCUACGGGAGGCAGCAGCAGGGAAUAUUGCGCAAUGGGCGAAAGCCUGACGCAGCGACGCCGCGUGAGUGAAGACGGCUUUCGAGUUGUAAAACUCUUUUCUGGGGGAAGAGGAAGGACGGUACCCGAGGAAUAAGCGUCGGCUAACUACGUGCCAGCAGCCGCGGUAAGACGUAGGACGCGAGCGUUAUCCGGAUUUACUGGGCGUAAAGCGCCUGUAGGCGGCUUUGUAAGUUGGGCGUGAAAGCCCCGUGCUUAACGCGGGGAGGCCGUUCAAUACUGCGGAGCUAGAGUACGGCAGAGGGGAGUGGAAUUCCUGGAGUAGCGGUAAAAUGCGCAGAUAUCAGGAGGAACACCAGUGGCGAAAGGGCGGCUCNNCCUGGGCCGGAGAACUGACGCUCAGAGGCGAAAGCUAGGGGAGCGAACAGGAUUAGAGACCCUGGUAGUCCUAGCCCUAAACGAUGGAUGCUAGGUGUGGGGGCGAUGAGUUUCCGUGCCGGAGCAAACGCGAUAAGCAUCCCGCCUGGGGACUACGGCCGCAAGGUUAAAACUCAAACGAAUUGACGGGGGCCCGCACAAGCAGCGGAGCGUGUGGUUUAAUUCGAUGCUACACGAAGAACCUUACCUGGGUUUGACAUGUAGGUGGUAGCGAGGCGAAAGCUGAGCGACCCUUCGGGGAGCCUACACAGGUGCUGCAUGGCUGUCGUCAGCUCGUGCCGUGAGGUGUCGGGUUAAGUCCCGUAACGAGCGCAACCCUUGCUCCUAGUUAUACGUGUCUAGGGGGACUGCCGGCGGGAAGCCGGAGGAAGGUGGGGAUGACGUCAAGUCAGCAUGGCCAUUAUGUCCAGGGCUACACACACGCUACAAUGGCCAGUACAAAGGGUAGCGAAGCCGCGAGGUGGAGCGAAUCUCAGCAAAGC
rnacentral:rRNA from 1 species